GACGAACGCUGGCGGCGUGCUUAACACAUGCAAGUCGAACGGAAAGGCCCUGCUUGCAGGGUACUCGAGUGGCGAACGGGUGAGUAACACGUGGGUGAUCUGCCCUGCACUUCGGGAUAAGCCUGGGAAACUGGGUCUAAUACCGGAUAGGAGCCAUUUUUAGUGUGAUGGUUGGAAAGUUUUUUCGGUGUAGGAUGAGCUCGCGGCCUAUCAGCUUGUUGGUGGGGUAAUGGCCUACCAAGGCGGCGACGGGUAGCCGGCCUGAGAGGGUGGACGGCCACAUUGGGACUGAGAUACGGCCCAGACUCCUACGGGAGGCAGCAGUGGGGAAUAUUGCACAAUGGGCGCAAGCCUGAUGCAGCGACGCCGCGUGGGGGAUGACGGCCUUCAGGUUGUAAACUCCUUUCGCUAGGGACGAAGCUUUUUGUGACGGUACCUAGAUAAGAAGCACCGGCUAACUACGU
rnacentral:rRNA from 1 species